UAGGGAAUAUUAGUAAUGGGCGCAAGCCUGAACUAGCAACGCCGCGUGUGCGAAGAAGGCCUUCGGGUUGUAAAGCACUUUUUGAGAGGAUGAGGAAGGACGGUACUCUCAGAGUAAGUCUCGGCUAACUACGUGCCAGCAGCCGCGGUAACACGUAGGAGGCGAACGUUAUCCGGAUUUACUGGGCGUAAAGCGCGUGUAGGUGGUUUGGUAAGUAGGGCGUGAAAGCUCCUGGCUCAACUGGGAGAGGCCGUUCUAUACUGCCGAACUAGAGGAUGGUAGAGGGAGGUGGAAUUCCGGGUGUAGCGGUGGAAUGCGCAGAUAUCCGGAGGAACACCAGUGGCGAAAGCGGCCUCCUGGACCAUUCCUGACACUCAGACGCGAAAGCUAUGGUAGCAAAC
rnacentral:rRNA from 1 species